rnacentral:lncRNA from 1 species
CCGAGGAAAAUGCAUAUAAUUAUAAUGGACUUCACUUCUCUGCAAUCAAAAAAUGAAUUAUCUAUAAUUAUAAAUCAUGACUUAGUUUUGAUCUAAAAUCUAUCUCUCCUAUCUACGGUUCAAAUUCAUUUAAAAAAUUGAUCCACGGCUCAAGACAAUUUCACACUAAGAAUUAUUUUUUCCCGCUAAAACUCUCACUUUUCACUCUCUUUCACUCUCUCCUUCCUCCUAAUCACUUUCACUUUCUCUCCCAAUCAUAAUUCUCGACUCCUCUCCUCCAGCACUUUCACAUUCAACAUUUUUACUUUUUUUUAUUACUCAUUUAUUCUUUUUUUUUUUUUACUUUCACCUUCGAAUUUUUAUAUAAUUUUUUUUAUAUAUAAAAUUUUAUAACUUCAUUAUUUUUUUCUUUAAUACCCCUUAAUUCUUUUGUUUUUCGUUUUACUUUAACUUCCAAAUUUUUAUAUUAAAAAAAUAAUUUUAUAAUUUCUUUUACUCUCACCUUAUGUGUUUUAUAAAAGCAAAAAAUAUGAAUCAAGAUUUUUAAUAUUUUUUUAAAUUUCUGUGGGUUGAUAGUUAUAUAUUAUUUGUUAUUUGAGUCUUUUUUUAAUACCCCUUUAUUUAUUUAUUUUUUUAAUUUUAUUUUUAAAUUUUUAUAUAAAACAAUAUAUAAUUUCUUUUGGAGGAGAUAUUGAUUAAAAGUUAUGUUCUUAAUGUUUAACUACUGUAUUGAAGGGGAGGGAGGGGGGGCAGGAAGGUGAGAAUAGUGGUUGGAGAGGGGAAGAAGACGAAGCAAGGUGGCGUUCUCCUUUCCUAUCUUCCUUUUUUUUUCCUUUUUUCUCUUCUCCCUCAAUUACUAAAAAAAAAAUACAUUAUUAAUUUUUCAAAAAUAUUCAAAUAACAAACUGACUAUAACUAUCAACCCAUCAAAUUUAAAAAAAAAUUAUUAACAUUUUGAUUCAUAUUUUUUUUUCUUUUAAUAAAACAUAUAAGGUGGGAGUAAAAAGUUAUAAAUUUUAUCAUAUUUUUUUAUAUAUAAAAAUUAGAAAUAAAGUAAAAAAAAAAUCAAGGGUUAUUAAAAAAAAGGAAAAAUACAGGAGUUAUAAAAUUUUAAGUCAUAUUUUUUUUAUUGAAAAACUUCGGAAAUGAAAGUAAAAAAAAACAGAAUCAGAGGUAUUUAAAAAUGAGUAUUAAAAAAAGAAUAAAAAGGUUGAAUGACAAAAUUAUACUUUGAGGAAGAAUUUAGGGUAAAAAGUGAAAGUCAAAAAAAAAAAAAUAUCACUCGAGGGGUUGGGGUUGUCAGGGUGAAAAAAAACAAGAUCUCUUAUUAAGUUUAGGAGAUUAGUUAGUUACAUUAGAUUAGCAUUAGUUAGUUUGACAGAUUAGUUAGUUUUGAGCAAGUUAUGAGAGUGUACCUUAUUUGUGAUUAUUUUUUAUUUUUAUUUGUUCUUCUGCGAUGAAAAAUCAUCAAAAUUGAUAAAAAAAGAUUUUUAUUUUAUUUUUGCGUAGUGUCCAUGGGCACGGGCAAUUACUAGUACUGGUACAAUUUAAGUAUUUUAGUCUUAUUUUGACGAUUCAAAUUGUACAUGUAGAUUUUGUCGUAAAAAUAAGUAUUGUAAAAAUUUAAGUUGAUCAAACACAAUUUAGUAUCCGUUUAGGGCUGUUUUAUAACUUAAUAAAUUAGUGUGACACAAGAUUAUACUUAUUUAUUUUAAUAUAAAAUAAUAUAGAUCGACUAUUGAUUCUAUAUCGAUCAUGUAUGUUUUGAUGAUAUUAAAUUCUUCAUGAGUUUACAAUAUGAAUGGUUUGAAGCCAAACAACUCAUAUGAUCCACUUUCUCAAGGAAUACAUAGACGUCUUCGCUUGGAGUUAUGAUUAAAAGACUAACUUGCUAAGCUUUGAAUCAUCAAAAUAGACUCAAAACGGUGCCCAAAAUACUUGGACAGUGCAUCAUUUUUUGGAUUGGAAAGCGUGGUUCAUUAUAAUAUAUCAUUACCAAAAAGGCGAGUUCAAAACAAAUAUGAUAGUACAUAAUUAAUAAAGAGCAUUGCUACGGUUCUAAAAUUUGAACCAAGUGUUCUGAAUCACUCAUUUUGAAUUUGAAUAGUAGUGUUUCUCAACUAAGAAAAGAAAAAUGAUUGGCAACAUCAAAAUCUCAUUUAUUUCUCUCUCUCUCUAAUAACAUCUCUGCAAUGGCUAAUAGCCUAAUUGAGUGGCUGUGAUUACCUGAUUGAAAAGUAUAUGUAAGAAGUCCCGAGAACAAAGAUAUGCACACACAAUUUAAGCACCACAUCGUGGGCUGGUAUGCAAUAUACAUAUUUCCCCUUACAAUUACACAAAUUUUAAGAGCUUUAAAUUGUUAAAAAAACUAUUUUAAAACUAUUUUUGAGGGGCAUUUAUCAGAUAGAAAUAAGAAUAAACAGGCUUACUGAAUAAUAUCUAAAUAAGUUCAGUAUUAGAUUAUGUGGAGGUUUUGUGAGCCUACCAGACUCGGUGGUACCAAAGUAAUAUGGUCAAGAGACAAUUUCUUUUAGUUUUUUAUUUGUGAAUCAUGAAAAUGAUUUCCUAAAACUACUUAUACCAGAUUUGACACCAACUUCUACUAAAUUCCAUCGAAAAUUUUCCAUGACAUUGAUAAUGAAUAAAUCUAUAAAAAAAUUGAUCCAUGCAAUCUAUUCUUGAAAAUAUCCGACUCUCAAACCUGUUCAAUCAGCAAUCCUUUCGCGUAGACGCAUAUCAAGUUACAACUUACAACCAUCUGUUUAUUAAGAGAUACAUAUCUUGGCACGAGUUACAAAUCGAUUAACACUAAGAAGAACAGAGCAGGAAUAGUCUCAAACCAUCCAAAGGGGUUCUAUUCUUUCAUGUACAUAAAAACAAUCUGCAUGCCUUUCAAUUACCAACAAGCAUGAAUAGCAAAUUCUAGUCAAGUUCUUCAGGACAUCAUAAUCCCCAUUUCCCAAUUACCCAACAGGAGGAAAUGGAACAUUACUUUAAGUCGGUUUAAUACCAAGCUCCAACGUCAUGUUAUCUCAAUAGACUUCGACAUGCCUUGUUUUGUUCUUUUUAAGUUAAGAGGCUUCGCGUCCAGCUCUCCCCCCUCUGCUGCUCCGCAACCCGCUUCAGCGUAUCUUGUGGAUCGCCAUGCAUCAAUCAUCCCUUUAAGCCCACAGAAGUAAAUGUGUGCCCCGCCUUCCAAAGAGCCUUGAAUAAUAUCUCAAUCAUGUAUUCUUCGAUCUUAUCCUGAACGUAAUUUUGCCUCCACUCUGGUUCUUUUUGUUCUCGGGGCUCAGAGCACGGUUCGAUACCUGAAUUUUCAGGUAGUCUUGCAAGAUACUGGUUCUUCCUCAUACAUAGACUGUCUGUUGCCACCGGCACCCAGAAUAGCCAGGCCAGACCACCGAAUCUGAUGUAGGGACAGAUCCAUAACAUUACCUUCGGAGAAUAUCCUCUGAAUGGAGCCCGCCAGUCCCAGUGGCAAUAUAAUGUGUGCGGCAUUUUAGUCUCUCAGGUACAAAGCUUUAUUUUCCCGAAGGACCUGCAAAAGUAUUCUCACACUCAAUUAAGAGAUGAGCGGGGAUAAAUUGUAUUUCUUUACUUUCACUUUUAAUUUUUCUUGUAUUUUUAUUUUAUCAUUAGUUUAUUUUUAUUUUACGUUAUUAGAAUUUAUUUAAUUAGGAAUUUUAGUAAUUUAGGAUUCUUAUUAUUUUAAAUUUUAGUAGUUAUCCAAAUAAAGUUUGUCUUUAAUUAGGAAUUUAAGUAGUUUAGGAUCUUACUUUUAAAAUUUUAGUAGCUUAUCAAUAGAUUAGUUUUUAUUCUUUAAGGGCUUUUUUUUGUUAUAUGGAACAGAGAUUAUGAUUUGAAAUAAGAGAAAACCAUGAUUUUUCUUUUCUUCCUACCUUGAAUCUGGCGGAAGGCCACAACUUCUCCUUCCCCUUUCUUCUGUAAUUCUGGCGGAAGCCGACUUCCCCCUCCCAUUCUACAUUCUUGUUACUUUUAAUCCUAGUUUUGAUAUCGAUUAAUGCGUAGGACACCAUUUUUUGUGUCCUGCGUCAAUUUGGUAGCCGAACUCCACCCCUCCCAGUCUAUAUUCCUGGUUACUUUUUAUCCUAUUUGAUAUCGUUCAAUCGUAGACCCAAUUUUUAAUUGUUGUCCUGCGGGUCAAUUUGGGUAUCAGAGCCGCAUCAAUCGAUCCCAAAACCAACCACCCACAUCUGUUUUUUUUCAAAAAUUACAGUUAUUGAAAAAUUUAGAAAUUCUUAAUGCAAUAUCCUGACGAGGCUCCUACCUUUGAUGUUGUCUGAUCGAAAAAGCCUUCUUAUAAUCGAUUGGGUUCAUGAGAUGAAUGAAUCGUUUUUUUUAUUGCACAGUUGUCUGAUGAUAGAAAGUGCGAUUCUAAAAUUGAAAAAUUAAUCACGAGCCAAGAAGUUCUUUUGGCAAAGCACUGAGCUGCACGACGAAAACCCAUCACUGAUUGGACUGAGAUGAUAGAAGUCUUUAGUAAUACAUACAAUUCGCCCCUUCCUAUCAAGAUAGACUAGCUUCGAUGUAGCGCAGAAAAAUUUAGAGGCAUUCAACAGAGCAAGAACAUAUUAUUGAAUUCUUGAGCAAAUUGAGAUAUUUCAAAUGAGUUACGAGAAAUUAAAUGAAGAUGCAGCAGUGUUAAAACAGAAACCGGCUGCAAUAUUAUCCAGACUCAAUUGGCGUCGUCACACAGAGGCAUAUUCUUCUUAUAUGCAUCUUCAAAAGGCUGCUAUUAUUUUUCAAUGCUCUUGGAGACACAGCGUUUGCUUGAAAGAAUUCGAAAGCUCAAAAUGCUGCAAAGGAAAAAGAUCCCCUUUCACAACUUUAAAGUGGUGCCAAAAGUGAAAAGAUCGAUCUGAUGGUGUUUAAACUUUCUCUUUAUACGUUGCCUCAUUUCAAAAAACUGAUAUUAUUUGGAGUUUCGGAUUUUAAAGAGUUUAAAUUUUCAGACCCAAAGAGUUGGUCACCUAUUGCAA